rnacentral:lncRNA from 1 species
AAGGAGAGGAAGAUCUUGACUGCUAUUACAACUACUAUUCAUAUCAACAAUGGCUUCCGCAGGUAUGAAUUUGGUUUAUUAAUUUAUUAUUUGGUGAUUCUUGAUUCUUAGCAUGAUUAUAGAUUAAAAUUUAAUAAUUGGUAUCAGAGUCUUCGUGCUAAGAUCAGAAUCCUUUAUAAAAACAACACAAAUAUAAAUUACCUACUGACCAUUAAAACUUGUUACGAGAAAGAAACAAAGGUAUGCCCAAUGUCAAUUUUUUUUUAAUCAGUUUUUUCGGGUGAAAUUGCCAAUUGUCAUUAUUAUUAUAUUUCUCUACAAGUACCAAGAAUAAUGUGCUGUAGUUUUAUUAAUUCACGCAGUCAACCAAUUUUCUUGCUUUUAUCUCUUUCUGUGUAUGUACGGCAUUCAUCUUAUUUAUAUACACAAAAUUCCAUGACAUGAUUGACUGUCCACCAUAUUGUGUUGGAAAGAGUAAAACAAAAACCAAACCAAAACCAUACAUGAAUCAAAUUUUUCUCUGUUUGUAAAUAUCUAUAUAUGUUGUAUCUAUAGGUUUUGCAGUUUUUUGCAUCCACAGGGUUUGGAUUUUGCUUUUGCUAAUUAGACAAAAAUUCAGAUUUCUGAAUUUAAACAUGAACUGAAUGAUUGUUGAAGUUAGGGUUUCUAUUGGAGUGAAAUUCUGGUAUAAUUUAGCUCCCGGUUGAGUGAAACAAAUAAAUAAAUGAAUAAAAUUAUUGCUAUUUUUUUUUGGUGGAAAUUAAGAUUUUCGCAUCGUGGAUAUCAUAAACUUUUAUUGGAUGCACUGAAAAGUUUUAUAUUUUGGAUUUUGGAGCAUGUUUUGGUUGGCUAUGGUAGAUUUCAGGACGGGAGCCUCUCUUGCAAUUUUUGAGAUUAGAGGCUCCUUUUCUGCAAUUAAAAAUUGGGGUCAUGUUGCAAUUAUUUAAAGGGAGGGCCUGCUUGUAAUUUGAGAAUUUGGAGGACCUAGUUUUAAUUUUAAAUUUAGGGUUAAUUUCAAAUGGUUUUAAAUUUGAGCUUGUAAAGGUUUUGACCCUUAAGUUUCAAUUUUGACCCAAUUAAUGACCAGAUUAAAAUUAUAUUAAAAAAAAAAUUAACUGCGAUUUUUUAUAUUCUCAUCAUAAUGUUUGUGCAUUUAAAUGUCACUAUUCUAUGUGUGCUUAAAAUAUAUAUAUAUAUUGAAAUUUUGUUGUCAAUUUCGUCUCUCAAUCACAUAUGAAUUUUUACCUUUCAUCAAUUGGCGAUUAUAAAUUAAUACAGAAUUAUUAUUCUGUGAUUAAAUUUUUCAUGGGCUUUUGAGACGACUCUUAUUUUUCCACAAAGAGAAAUAUUUUGAAAUAAAAAUGGGUGGUAGCUGCUAAAGUGGCACACUCAUUAUUAUUUAUUCAAUUUUCUCUACAAUAAUAAAUAUAUAUUUGCACAACAAUUAUGAUUGAUUGCAUAUAAAAUCUUGCCCAAAGGUGUUGUUAUAUGUGAUAUUUUUGAAAAAUGGCAUAAAGCAGUUAACGAGCUUAUCUUGGUCUAAAAAUUUCCUUCUGC